CUAGCUGCGUGAAUUAAUGUGAAUUGCAGAACACAUUGAACAUCGACACCUUGAACGCACAUGGCGGCUUCGGGUUUACCCCGGGGCCACGCCCGUCUGAGGGUCGGUUGGCUAAAGCGAUCACUACCUUGUCCGUAAAUUUUUUUUUUGUCUGGUUUCUAUCAUUUCUCGGGCUCUCGCGAGAUUGUGAAUGAGACUGGUACAUCAAAAUAAUUUUGGUAGCGCAUUGGGCCUUCGUGAAUAGCGUACGGUUAGCGCCCUUGCUCUCUGCGCUUCGUCGCAUGUUCUCGUGGCUUUAAGUACAGGAUGCGCCGUCGUCCUAUCUGUCCUACGAGAUGCUGCUCGCCUCGUCGGUGGUCUCUCGCUGCGCGACAGGUACCCGGCUCGUGCUUUAAAAGCGAGCUGUACGGACCUGGGACGCGCGUGAAAUGUUCGGGAGAUGGGCCGCAUAGCAGCGAUUCGUUCGGACUUACGGCGUCCGUCUUACACAUUAAUUUGUGUGGCGUGAAACAUUUUUUAUCCGACCUCAGAUCGGACGAGAUUACCCGCUGAAUUUAAGCAUAUUACUAAGCGGAGGAAAAGAAACUAACAAGGAUUUCCCUAGUAACGG
rnacentral:rRNA from 1 species